UGGGUUGUAGCUCAGAGGUAGAGGCGCUCACCUAGCAUGUGUGAGGCGCUGGGUUCCAUCCUCAGCACCAUAA
rnacentral:tRNA from 1 species